UCCGGCUUAUCACCGGCGGUUCCUUUAGAGUCCCCAACCGAAUGAUGGUAACUAAAGACGAGGGUUGCGCUCGUUGCGGGACUUAACCCAACAUCUCACGACACGAGCUGACGACAGCCAUGCAGCACCUGUGUUCCCCCCAGCCGAACUGAAGGACUCCUUUUCGGGAGUCCAAAAGGGACAUGUCGAAUCCUGGUAAGGUUCUUCGCGUUGCCUCGAAUUAAACCACAUGUUCCACCGCUUGUGCGGGUCCCCGUCAAUUUCUUUGAGUUUUAAUCUUGCGACCGUACUCCCCAGGCGGGGUGCUUAACGCGUUAGCUACGCUACUGAGAGGUAACCCCCCAACAGCUAGCACCCAUCGUUUACAGCGUGGACUAC
rnacentral:misc_RNA from 1 species